rnacentral:rRNA from 1 species
GUGGGGAAUAUUGGACAAUGGGCGAAAGCCUGAUCCAGCCAUGCCGCGUGAGUGAUGAAGGCCUUAGGGUUGUAAAGCUCUUUCAGUAGGGAAGAUAAUGACGGUACCUACAGAAGAAGCCCCGGCUAACUUCGUGCCAGCAGCCGCGGUAAUACGAAGGGGGCUAGCGUUGUUCGGAUUUACUGGGCGUAAAGCGCACGUAGGCGGAUUGGUCAGUUAGAGGUGAAAUCCUGGAGCUCAACUCCAGAACUGCCUUUAAUACUGCCAGUGUAGAGUCCAGAAGAGGUGAGUGGAACUCCUAGUGUAGAGGUGGAAUUCGUAGAUAUUAGGAAGAACACCAGUGGCGAAGGCGGCUCACUGGUCUGGUACUGACGCUGAGGUGCGAAAGCGUGGGGAGCAAACAGGAUUAGAAACCCCAGUAGUCC